AUGGCGGGGGUGAGUUCAAGGAGGUGCUCCCUUGGGUUGAGUUGCAAGGCACUCAUUAUCAGGGUCACAGGCUCUUCCAUGUCCAAACUUGCUAAAUUAACCUGUUCUCCUGGUGUGUAUGUGGAGUUUGUGUGGCGUCUUCUCCUCACGCCGUUGACCUUGCACUCGUAACAGGCCUCGGGAGACAGGCUGUUGUCCUCAUCUUUACCACCAAAUGACCUGAAGCGAUUUUUCCCCAAACUGGUGCCAGCCACGCAGUGCCUAAGUAAUAUAUCCACAUGGAAGGCGAGAGAUAAACCAAUAAUUAAAACAUAAAUAACAUGAAGAAAAGGAGGAAAAAAUGUCAAAGACCAACAUAUUGUGUUUCAUACCAAUUUGUACAAAUUACAAUUAACCAAAUCCCAAGGUUACUAGCACUUCACCUUAGAGAUCUCUGAAAUCUCCUCAGCAUCAGGAUCAAGUCUGCUUUCGCAGACAACAUGAUCCAGUUCAGUAUCAGAGUAUCAUAAUCAACAAAACGAUUAAAACAUAUAAGGAAAAGAAAAUAAAAAAUGAAAAUGAAGUGCAGCACAGCACAAAACGAAAUGUGUCCUCUGCUUUUAACCAUCCCCCUUGGUGAGUAGUGGGCAGCCAUGACAGGCACACGGGGUGCUUUGCUCACGGAUCAGGAUUUGAACCGGCAACCUUCUGAUUACGUGCCGCUUCCUUAACCGCCAACACUGCCCCAAUGAUUAAAACAACAAUAAAAAAUUAAUGAACAUAUCAUACAAAUUAACGAAAGACAAAGAUAUCUGACUACUCUUCAGUGAUAUCUCGGCACUAUGAUAUGGCACUAUAAUUACCACCUACUUACAUACCAACGCAGUUCGGACGGCCAUUGCCAACAGUUCUUAUUUUGUGGAGUUUUUGUAUAGUUGAUAUCCCCAUCCACCUGCCGUCUGCACAGUCACGUAGGUGGUGUUCUGCAAAAUCCACACCGGUAUUUGACACUCCACCCAAGAAUGCCGGGAUCCAAUUGUCAAACAAUAGAACUGGGUCCUCGUCACAAGG
ensembl:lncRNA